CGGUAAUACGUAGGGGGCUAGCGUUGUCCGGAAUCAUUGGGCGUAAAGAGCGUGUAGGCGGCCCGGUAAGUCCGCUGUGAAAGUCGGGGGCUCAACCCUCGAAUGCCGGUGGAUACUGUCGGGCUCGAGUGCGGAAGAGGCGAGUGGAAUUCCUGGUGUAGCGGUGAAAUGCGCAGAUAUCAGGAGGAACACCAAUUGCGAAGGCAGCUCGCUGGGACGUUACUGACGCUGAGACGCGAAAGCGUGGGGAGCAAACAGG
rnacentral:rRNA from 1 species